rnacentral:siRNA from 1 species
AUUCAUUGUUGUAGCUUUGGUGUG